rnacentral:rRNA from 1 species
GACGAACGCUGGCGGCGUGCUUAACACAUGCAAGUCGAACGGAAAGGCCCUGCUUUUGUGGGGUGCUCGAGUGGCGAACGGGUGAGUAACACGUGAGUAACCUGCCCUUGACUUUGGGAUAACUUCAGGAAACUGGGGCUAAUACCGGAUAGGAGCUCCUGCUGCAUGGUGGGGGUUGGAAAGUUUCGGCGGUUGGGGAUGGACUCGCGGCUUAUCAGCUUGUUGGUGGGGUAGUGGCUUACCAAGGCUUUGACGGGUAGCCGGCCUGAGAGGGUGACCGGCCACAUUGGGACUGAGAUACGGCCCAGACUCCUACGGGAGGCAGCAGUGGGGAAUAUUGCACAAUGGGCGGAAGCCUGAUGCAGCAACGCCGCGUGCGGGAUGACGGCCUUCGGGUUGUAAACCGCUUUCGCCUGUGACGAAGCGUGAGUGACGGUAAUGGGAAAAGAAGCACCGACUAACUACGUG